rnacentral:rRNA from 1 species
GCCUAACACAUGCAAGUCGAGCGGGGUAGCAAUACCCAGCGGCAGACGGGUGAGUAACAGGUAGUCAACCUUCCCGACAGUGGGGGAUAACUAGCCGAAAGGUUAGCUAAUACCGCAUCCGAUCUAUGAGAGGCAUCUCUUUUAGAUGAAAGGAGCAAUCCGCUUUCGGACGGGACUGCGUCCCAUUAGCUAGAUGGUGGGGUAAUGGCCUACCAUGGCGGCGAUGGGUAGCUGGUUUAAGAGAGCGACCAGCCACACUGGGACUGAGAAACGGCCCAGACUCCUACGGGAGGCAGCAGUGAGGAAUUUUCCGCAAUGGGCGAAAGCCUGACGGAGCGACGCCGCGUGUGGGAAGAAGGCCUUCGGGUCGUAAAAAAACUGUCGA